ACUAGAGAGGUAUGGGUUAAAAACUCUAGGGCCCCAGCCAGCACGGUGGCUCACGCCUGUAAUCCCAGCACUUUAAGAGGCCGAGGCGGGCAGAUCACGAGGUCAAGAGAUCGAGACCAUCCUGGCCAACAUGGUGAAACCCCGUCUCUACAAAAAUACAAAACUUGGCUGAGCGUGGUGGUGGACGCCUGUAGUCCCAGCUACUCGGGAGGCUGAGGCCGCAGAAUCACUUGAACCCAGGAGGCUGAGGUUGCAGUGAGCCGAGAUUGUGGCACUGAACUCCAUCCUGGCGACAGAGCGAGAUUCCGUAUCAAAAAAAAAAAAAAAAAAAAAAAAAAAAAUCUAGGUCCGUGCUCUCUUAUGUGACUUUGGAAAGUCCAAGGGCACUGAAAAUUACUGAUCUAAACAGAUCCCUCCUACAACGAAUAUUUCAUUCCUAAAGUUUUGUGGAUUCUUACUAUGGAAUGAUAAUAUAAGGUAGGUCACAUUCUUGGUUAAGACAAUUGUAACUUUUUAAAUCUUUCCACCUUUAGUUUUUCUUAAGUUAAAAUGAGACAAAGCAAAGCUAAAGUUUAUAGGCUGCCUACUACAUGUCAGUUUUUGCAGCUUUCAGAUGUUAUCUCAUUCCAUUCCCUUCUUAUAAGUCCACAAUACAAAUAUCCAUUCCACCUCUCUUUCUUUUCUUUUGGUGAGGAAACUUAGAGAUCCCCUUCUCUUUCAUCGUAGGUCAAGCCUCUUUCUCAGAUAUGGAUCCAGUAACUGGCAAUAAGAUGGUGUCAGAAUUGGGAUCCAAAGUAGAGCUUCUAAUGAUCCCCAUGAGCACUGAGUGACCAUCCGAGGUACCUGCCAGUCUUACUGUGUCCUUUGGUCUCUUGGAGCAGCUGGGGACUAUGAGUCUCCGGAUUCCGGGAUCUAAAUGGGUAGUCAUGAUGAGGUAUGAAGACAUUUUCUAUACCAUUUUCUACGCCUAUACCAGCCAGAAUCAAGUCCAACAUGGCUGCUUCCUCCUCUGCUUUUCCUGUUUGCCUCCUGGCUAUUUUGGGAUGGGUUGGAUUCUCCAGAUAUAGUCUUCAUGGCUCUGUUCUCUGUCCUUAUGGAUUCAGAAAGGCCUUGAAUUUCAUAAUCCUCUUGGGUCCCCUGUGGCUACCUAAGACCUAGAAUGCCUAGGGGAAGACAUUAGAAAGGCUACCUGUGUCAAUUUCAAAAUUAUUUUCAGUAAUUUAAAAUUUUAGAGUCAUGUUAUGUAAAAUUAAGUAAUAGAUAAUUAUAAAAUGUCUGAGUCAUCUGUAAGUUGAUAUUGAAAUGUAGAUAUUAAACAUGAGUUUAAGUCUAUAUACCUUCACAUGUUAUUUUUACAUGAUAUAGAAAAGCUAAAUAGAUCUGUCAAUAAACAAUAAUUUGAAGAACUAUUUUUCUUAAAAAAUAUAAAAUGGUUUUUAUCUACAAAUACUGAUAUAAAACAGUUCAAAAUUACUUUCUAGGUUUUUCACUAAAAAAUAGAGAUAAUAAAAGUUAAAAACUACUAGAUAUGAGACAAUUCUGUAUACAGAGUGUAUAAACAAAACCAAGAUAUGUGUUCAAUGGGGAAAGUUAUAAAGGCAUAAAAAUGUGUGUUUAAAAUGUUGUCUGGUUUAAAGUUACUUAAAAGUUUCAAGUUGAAAGAGUAAUAAAAUAGAUACAACACAAUAAACAAAGAAAGUUGGGGAAAAAUGUAAAACAAAAGGUUUAUGGAAAUCUUGUGUGGUUAAAAGAUGACAGAUUUGGUACAUUUAUUUAUAAGGUUUUAUUAAAAUUAAUUUUAGUUUUGAUAAUACACUAAUACAAAAAGAAAACUUGGUUUUCUCUUUUGAACAAAAUUUUUUUGUAGUUUUAAUAACACAUGGUAAAGUAUUUUCAUUCACCUUUUGAGUAAACUGCCAAAAGAGUGAAAAAGACAGAGGAAAGAAGAGACAGAUUCUGUCUCAUGCUGUCUUAGGUCUUUUGUUUGGAAAACUGGGUCUUUUUUUAUCAGAGUACAGGUUUUGGCCUUUAAAAAUCUUUUAAAAUUAUCACUUUGGUUAAAUGAACAACUAUUGUUUUAUGGUGACCAGUGAUCCUAUUUUGUUCAAGUGUUUUAAACCUUUAAUGUAUUUGAUAGGCUUCCCAAAAUCAUAUUUCAGCAUCAAAAUUAAGUCUUCUUUGGCCUCUAACUUUGAGAUGCUAAAGAGGGCCACUGAAGCCCUCUGUAGGGAGGUAAGCAGGAUUAUUUGACAUGUUAAGUUACAUGGGAAGCAUUGUCAAGGAAUAAUGUUUAACCUUCUUCAGGUUAUAUUUAAUGAAUGUCAUUAAUAUAUGUUCCAAAAUUGUAUGGGAUUUCUAAAAUUCUAAUAUGUCUGAGUAUGCACUAUAAAUCACACUUAUGGUUAUAAUGUUGUUAUUGUAGA
rnacentral:lncRNA from 1 species